UACGGGGGGAGCAAGCGUUGUUCGGAUUUACUGGGCGUAAAGGGCGCGUAGGCGGUCGUGACAAGUCACUUGUGAAAUCUCCGGGCUUAACUCGGAACGGUCAAGUGAUACUGUCGGACUAGAGUACAGAAGGGGCAACUGGAAUUCUCGGUGUAGCGGUGAAAUGCGUAGAUAUCGGGAGGAACACCAGUGGCGAAGGCGGCUAUCUGGGCUGAAACUGACGCUGAGGCGCGAAGGCUAGGGGAGCAAACAGG
rnacentral:rRNA from 1 species